ACCCGUUGAUCCUGCGGGAAGUUGCUGCUAUUUGGGUUCGACUAAGCCAUGCAAGCACGGACUUUUUAGAAGUACCGGCAUAUCGCUCAGUAACACGUCGAUAAUCUAACCUUAAGUUCAGAAUAACUUCGGGAAACUGAAGGUAAUACUGAAUAUGGGAAAGGUAUUGGAAUAUCCUUUUCCUUUAAAAGUGAUGCUUAAGGAUGAGUCGGCGGCGAAUUAGGUUGUUGGUGAGGUAAAGGCUCACCAAGCCGAAGAUUUGUAGGGGCCUUGAGAGAGGGAGCCCCGAGAAGGGCACUGAGAUACUGGCCCUAGCCCUACGGGGUGCAGCAGGCGCGAAACCUUUACAAUGCACGAAAGUGUGAUAAGGGAACCCAAAGUGCUUCACUUUGUGAGGCUUUUGCCAAGAGUAAAUAUCUUGGAGAAUAAGUGGUGGGUAAGACUGGUGCCAGCCGCCGCGGUAAUACCAGCGCCACGAGUGGGAACUAUUAUUAUUGGGCCUAAAGCGUCCGUAGCCUGUUUAAUAAAUUUCUUGUGAAAUUAUUAGGCUCAACCUAAUAACGUGCAGGAAAGACUGUUAGACUUGGGACUGGGAGGGGCCAGAAGUAUCUGUGGGGUAGCGGUAAAAUGUUAUAAUCCUAUGGGGACUACCAAUGGCGAAGGCAUCUGGCCAGAACAGGUCCGACGGUGAGGGACGAAAGCUAGGGGAGCAAACCGGAUUAGAUACCCGAGUAGUCCUAGCUGUAAACGCUGCGAGCAAGAUGUUGCGCAUUCUUCGGGAAUGUGCAGUAUCGAAGAGAAGUCGUUAAGCUCGCCGCCUGGGAAGUAUGGUCGCAAGACUGAAACUUAAAGGAAUUGGCGGGGGAGCACUACAAAGGGUGCGGCGUGCGGUUUAAUCUAACUCAACGCAGAGAAUCUCACCAGAAGCGACGGCAGAAUGAAAGUCAGAUUAAAGGUUUUACUUGACGAGCCGAGAGGUAGUGCAUGGCCGCCGUCAGCUCGUUCCGUAAGGUGUCCUGUUAAGUCAGGCAACGAGCGAGACCUGUGCCUACAAUUGCCAGCAGCAGAAUUUCUGGACUGGGCACAUUGUAGGAACUGCCCUGGAAACAGGGAGGAAGGUGCAGGCUACGGUAGGUCUGUAUGCUCCGAAUCUUCUGGGCUACACGCGCGCAACAAUGGUAGAGACAAUGGGAUGCAACUCCGAAAGGAGAAGCUAAUCCUCUAAACUCUAUCUUAGUUCAGAUUGAGGAUUGUAACUCAUCCUCAUGACGCUGGAAUCCCUAGUAACCAGGUCUUAUCAUGGCCCGGUGAAUAUGUCCCUGCUCCUUGCACACACUGCCCGUCAAAUCAACCGAGUUGAGCUUAGAUGAGACUUAAUUUCUUGAUUAAGGCGAAUCUGGGCUUAGUGAGGUGGGUUAAGUCGUCACAAGGUC
rnacentral:rRNA from 1 species